rnacentral:rRNA from 1 species
UACACUCCUGCGGGAGGCAGCAGUGGGGAAUAUUGGACAAUGGGCGCAAGCCUGAUCCAGCCAUGCCGCGUGAGUGAUGAAGGCCCUAGGGUUGUAAAGCUCUUUCACCGGUGAAGAUAAUGACGGAAACCGGAGAAGAAGCCCCGGCUAACUUCGUGCCAGCAGCCGCGGUAAUACGAAGGGGGCUAGCGUUGUUCGGAUUUACUGGGCGUAAAGCGCACGUAGGCGGACUAUUAAGUCAGGGGUGAAAUCCCGGGGCUCAACCCCGGAACUGCCUUUGAUACUGGUAGUCUUGAGUUCGAGAGAGGUGAGUGGAAUUCCGAGUGUAGAGGUGAAAUUCGUAGAUAUUCGGAGGAACACCAGUGGCGAAGGCGGCUCACUGGCUCGAUACUGACGCUGAGGUGCGAAAGCGUGGGGAGCAAACAGGAUUAGAUACCCGAGUAGUCC